rnacentral:lncRNA from 1 species
GUACAUGGGACUAAGCUGGGGGCCGACUACUGUGGGGCGUGAGAUUGAGGGAGGGAGUCAGACCACUGAACGGGUUCGGGGGUGCGGGAUGGAGGUUGCGGGACUGAGCUGGGGGGCUGGACUAUUGUGCAAGCAGAAGAAGAAUGUAGGACAGAGAUGGAAGGCCAGACAGUGCACUGAGUGGGCAGGGAGUGGGAGAGGAGAACAAGUUUGAGUCAGGAACCACUAUGCGAGCUGAGUGGGCUUAAGACGUUAAGGUGACUAUCAGCUUGCAGGUUGUUGGGCAAGACAAGUGGAAUUAAGGAAGAAGCACUAGGGAACUAGGAGAAGAGUGGAUUUCAGGGAAUGGUGACCACUUUGCAAGAGCGCGGGAAACCAAGGGAAGCUGGGGAGAAGAAAAAGCAGAAAGAGUCUCUCUAUGUUGUCCAGGCUGCCCUCAAGAUCACCAUCCUCCUGCUUCAGCCUCUCAAGUGCUGAGAUUAUUUGCAUGUGCAAUUCCACCCAGCUGAGAGACAACAAAUCUGAUACAAAGCAGUUCAUGCCGCCAGAAGAACAGAAAUAGAAGAAGUACAAUGGACCACCAAAAAGACCAAAGCCACUGCACCUCAAGAACCUGUUUUAGCCUACCUGUGUGGAGCAACGCAGAGUUGUCUCACCCUCCAAUUGCCUGGUGUCUGCAUUGAGCUCCAAGAGCAGUCAGCGUGGAUGACUGCUAGAUAGGAUUCCUGGCACAUGACAAGAGAACUUGGUGGAUGAAGUCCAUGCAGUCAGCUCCUUCUCACCAGACAGAUCUCAGCCCAAAGGCCCCUCCUGAGAGCAGCCACCCUGGACUCCUCUCUGUCUCUGGUCCUCCCUCAUGUACCUCCUCUAACACA